rnacentral:rRNA from 1 species
GACGAACGCUGGCGGCGUGCCUAAUACAUGCAAGUCGAACGGGGAACACAGACGGAAGUUUUCGGAUGGAAGGAAGUGUUCUUAGUGGCGGACGGGUGAGUAACGCGUGAGCAAUCUGCCCAUAAGAGGGGGAUAACAGUUAGAAAUGACUGCUAAUACCGCAUAAGACCACACUACCGCAUGGUAGAGGGGUCAAAGAUUUAUCGCUUAUGGAGGAGCUCGCGUCCCAUUAGGUAGUUGGUAGGGUAACAGCCUACCAAGCCUGCGAUGGGUAGCCGGCCUGAGAGGACGAUCAGCCACACUGGGACUGAGACACGGCCCAGACUCCUACGGGAGGCAGCAGUGGGGAAUCUUGCGCAAUGGGGGCAACCCUGACGCAGCCAUGCCGCGUGAAUGAUGAAGGCCUUAGGGUUGUAAAGUUCUUUUGCCCGUGACGAUGAUGACGGUAACGGGAGAAUAAGCUCCGGCUAACUUCGUGCCAGCAGCCGCGGUAAUACG